UACGGAGGAUCCAAGCGUUAUCCGGAUUUAUUGGGUUUAAAGGGUGCGUAGGCGGCCUAUUAAGUCAGGGGUGAAAGACGGUAGCUUAACUAUCGCAGUGCCUUUGAUACUGAUGGGCUUGAAUACACUAGAGGUAGGCGGAAUGUGACAAGUAGCGGUGAAAUGCAUAGAUAUGUCACAGAACACCAAUUGCGAAGGCAGCUUACUAUGGUGUGAUUGACGCUGAGGCACGAAAGCGUGGGGAUCAAACAGG
rnacentral:rRNA from 1 species